rnacentral:rRNA from 1 species
UAGGGAAUCUUGGACAAUGGGCGAAAGCCUGAUCCAGCAAUGCCGCGUGUGUGAAGAAGGUCUUCGGAUUGUAAAGCACUUUCGACGGGGACGAUGAUGACGGUACCCGUAGAAGAAGCCCCGGCUAACUUCGUGCCCG